CGUAAAUGGAAAUGAACUUAACGCUUUUAAUUUGCUAACUUGUCGUUAACCACGAAAACAGAGGACGGAGAUUAAGAAAAGACAAAGCCAAGUUGGAGUUAUAGGUUUUAUCAAAAACUUCGAUGAAGGAAAUAAUAAAUGAGAAAAUAUUUUUUAAAAUACUAAGAAUGAUUACUUUUCCAGUUUCAUUAAAAAUCAAACAAACACUGGAAUUUAAAAAUUUAAGGAAUCAGAUUACUUUCCCAAAAUAAACAUGGCCAAUGUGAUAUAGAGAUAAACACUAGCCAGACGUAAUAUAACCCAAUGAAGAAUGAAGAAAUUAAACAGAAAUAAACUGAAACGAAAAUACAAAUUAGAAACAAUAAAUCGUAGAUGUAAUUUGUAAGCCGAGUCGAGGAGUCCUCUUUCUGCAAGACGAGAUACGCCCUGGUAGUGCUCUCGGAUUGACGUGUCGUCUCCAAAUAUAAAACGACUUCGUCUUAUUCAUUGCAGCACCGCAAACGGAACAAGCUCCGGUGAACCGGAUGAUAGUAAGGGCAGAGCUUCGACGGAAGACUAUGCAGAGAGAGAGCGCUUUGCAAUGCUAUGCUUAGUGUAGUGUGAGGUAUACAAUGCAUGGAGUGACUGCCUAUUUAUAGGCCAAGUCCCCUCAUUGGGUGAUGAUGGAGUCAACAACCAUUAUGUGUGUCAUGAUGGCUCGACUGUAACCGUCGGGGGUUACAAGCAGUUACGGAAGCUGAAGAGACAUCAUGCAUCUCGACACGCUACACGACGGGAUUCAUCGUGGACCUUUUGGCACACGAUGCACUGGGGUCCAUCGGGAAUCUUUUGUCACCGGCUAUGCGUUGGGGUCCAUCGUGGACCGAUUUUGACCCGCUAUGUGUCGGGGUCCAUCGUGGACCUUUUAGCACCCGUUGUGCAUCUGGGUCUAACGUGGACCUUUUAGCACCCGCUAUGUGUCAGGUCCUUCAUGGACCCUUUGACACAUGACACAUGGUACACGACACGGUUAACUGAGCACGGGUCACAGGACAUGGUGCACAGAGGCGGCUCGCGGCGAGGCAGCGUGCGCAUGUGGGCUCUACCGCCCAUCUUAGUCCACGAUAAUUAUUACACGUAAUAAUUAAUCUUAUUAAAUACAUGUUUAAUAAGGUUCUCCCCACCAAUGUGGGAUAAUUAACUCUUUUAAUUAAUCCAUUUGUUUGAUCUCAUAGCUCCUUUAUAACUCACAAUUGUGACAAACUUUAAUUCAUGAUUUCUCAUUCGUCGGGGAAUCGAUUUAGAGAAAAUGAAUAUACCACGCUCAUCUAUUCAGAAAUAUAUCUCCCACUUUUUAAAAGGCCCAAAUCCUAAAACUAAAAGUAGCCCAAGCCCAAGACUUCCAACAAUUAAAUCAAAAAAAAAGAGAGAGAACAAACCAACUAAAAUAAAAUACUCCCAGAUCACUAAUACGUCUUCUUCCAUCCCCAAUGACUACUCCCUCUCUCUCAAUUUCUUCCCCCACAGUGACUAACACCCAAAUUGUGAUGCCUCCUCUCCUCUCUCUCUCAACUCUUGCUCGCUGCCGGCGAUUGGUACCAUCGCAGCUCCACCGUGAGACGCCGGCGUGCAGCGAUUCCUCCCCACCGCCGUUUCUGCCUCCGUCCGUCCAGCCGUCGCGCUCCAACACAACAGGCUGUUAGAAAGGAUCGGGAGUCGAUUUUGUUCAAAGGGGCUAAAGCACUUCAACAACAGGAAUUAAAGAUUGGGACUUUCACAUUCAUGUGUUAUCAAAAGGAUUUCCAAACGUGUGAACUAUUGAAUGGUAUGCCGUGAAAUUCAGAAGGUAGAGAGUUCAGAAUUUGGGGAAUUAUACCUUUCGGAGAACAGGAUUUGCCAACAAACAGGGAAAUUGAAAUCACGAUCCUCUCGGUUUCAAACUUGUUGGAAGGAAGAAACUGCAGUGGCUUCCCUCUCGGUUUUCUCUCUAUUCCUUUUUCGGAAUUUCUCUGGGAUUACUGUGAAGCUUGUGGAAUAUAUCUCUACUUAGAAAGAUUUGGCUUAAGACUAUCUCCAUCUGUGACACUUACCCAACCCAACCUCAAUCAACUUUUUAAUAAAAUAUUCAUUUCUCUA